UCCUGAAAGAAAAGAAUCUUUAAAGAUUAAAAACAGAGGUUCACUUAUUUCUGCACUUAGUUCCUUAAGUACACGUGGAUGGAUACCGUCAGGCCCUGGAGCUUUGUUUAUAUUAACUUUCUUUAGUUGCUGCAGCACCUUGUCUUGAGUUAACCAAUUACAAUUAUUCUGCAAUUUUUUAGUAGCAAUCAUUUGCACAUCUAUUGCCAUGGGUUCUUCCUUAAUAUAUACGGAGGAGAAAUAGUUAUUUUAAAUUCCUGCCUUUUCCUGGUCUUCAUUAACUAACACCCCCGUUUCCGUUUUUAGUGUACCUACACUUGCAUUUUUAUUUAUUUUUUUAGAAUUUAUGUACUUAAAAAAUGCUUUGGGGUUGGUUUUG